rnacentral:rRNA from 1 species
GAUGAACGCUAGCUACAGGCUUAACACAUGCAAGUCGAGGGGCAGCAGGAAGGAAGCUUGCUUUCUUUGCUGGCGACCGGCGAAUGGGUGAGUAACGCGUAUCCAACCUUCCCCCGUCUCGGGCAUAGCCCUUAGAAAUGAGGAUUAACUCCCGAUGGUGUCGCGAGAUCGCAUGAGAUUGCGACUAAAGUUAUACGGACGGGGCUGGGGAUGCGUCCCAUUAGUUAGUUGGCGGGGUAACGGCCCACCAAGACAUCGAUGGGUAGGGGUUCUGAGAGGAAGGUCCCCCACAUUGGUACUGAGACACGGACCAAACUCC